rfam:Enterocytozoon bieneusi H348 ctg01_177, whole genome shotgun sequence.
GUGUAUUUGGAAAUAUCCCUAAUACAGGAUCACUUGGAUCCGUCGGCGAUGACGAGCGCGAAAGAAUGCGAAAAGUCCUCACGGAAUGCUCUAAUUAUGAGAUAAUCUCAUGGAUACUCCCUGGACUUAAGCAUAUCAUUAAGGGAAGGAAAAGAAACUAACUAGGAUUCCGUUAGUAGUGGCGAAGAACACGGAAGAGUCCAA